AGAGUUUGAUCAUGGCUCAGAUUGAACGCUGGCGGAAUGCUUUACACAUGCAAGUCGAGCGGCAGCGCGGGGCAACCUGGCGGCGAGCGGCGAACGGGUGAGUAAUGCAUCGGAACAUGUCCAAUCGUGGGGGAUAGCCCGGCGAAAGCCGGAUUAAUACCGCAUAAGCCCGAGAGGGGAAAGCCGGGGACCGCAAGGCCUGGCGCGAAUGGGUUGGCCGAUGUCCGAUUAGCUAGUUGGUGAGGUAAAGGCUCACCAAGGCGAUGAUCGGUAGCUGGUCUGAGAGGAUGAUCAGCCACACUGGGACUGAGACACGGCCCAGACUCCUACGGGAGGCAGCAGUGGGGAAUUUUGGACAAUAGGGGAAACCCUGAUCCAGCCAUUCCGCGUGAGUGAAGAAGGCCUUCGGGUUGUAAAGCUCUUUUGUCCGGAACGAAACGGUUUGCGUGAAUAGCGCCGACUACUGACGGUACCGGGAGAAUAAGCACCGGCUAACUACGUGCCAGCAGCCGCGGUAAUUCA
rnacentral:rRNA from 1 species